UGGAUUAGUGGCGGACGGGUGAGUAACGCGUGAGUAACCUGCCUUACACAAGGGGAUAGCCGUUGGAAACGACGAAUAAUACCCUAUGAAACUAUCACUUCGCAUGAAGCGAUAGUCAAAGUGUUAGCGGUGUAAGAUGGACUUGCGUCUGAUUAGCUAGUUGGUGAGAAAAAAGCCCACCAAGGCAACGAUCAGUAGCCGGCUUGAGAGAGUGUACGGCCACAUUGGGACUGAGACACGGCCCAGACUCC
rnacentral:rRNA from 1 species